rnacentral:pre_miRNA from 1 species
AGUGGGAUAGCUGGGUCAAAAGGUGGUGCUAUUCCAUUUUCUAAGAAAUCUCCAUACUGCUUUGCAGAGUGGUUGCACCAAUUCGUAGUCUCAACAGCAAU